GUACUCACUUUGGUAGCACAUAUACUAAAAUUGGAAAGAUACAGAGAAGAUUAGCCGGGCCCCUGUGCAAGGAUGACAUGCAAAUUCAUGAAGCAUUCAAAUUUAUU
rnacentral:snRNA from 1 species